CUUGAAGAGUAAGCAAUGUAUUAAGUAUAUUUGGGGUUACCAAAGAGUAUGGUAAGAACCUCAUCUUAAAUUAUACUUGAGUUCUUACGAAGAUGUAUAGGUAUGCAGUAUUUAUUAUUUUUGUCUCUGUGUAUUUUUGUCAAUGAGGUAAAACCACAGAACAAAUCAAUCAGAAGUAUUAACUGGUGUAAUUUGAGAACACCCUGGAACACGAGAAAUAUCCUACCUCACAAAAUUUAACA